ensembl:lncRNA
AUGGAUAUUGACAGAAUAGCGAAUAAGCUGGCAGAGCUAGCCAUUCGAUAUGCUGUGCAAACAGUUCUGAUCGAGGAAAACCAUGACAAGUAUUUAAAAACACAAGAAGUGAAGUCCAGUGAGAUCUCUAACAAACCUGAAGCCCAAUCAACCUUAGAAACUAUUCAGCUGCCCAAGGACAGUGAUAAUUUGGAAUCCUGUCUGGACUCCCUGAUUGCUGGACUUCAUCAAACCACAGUGACAUCUCUGAACACAGAAAUCCACUCUGGUACCGAGGCAACAGAGGUCCAUCAACUUGAGGCACUGCCCAGAGAUGUGCUUCCGGGCAUCAGGGGUAAUGGGGCUAAUGCUGACUGUGCUCUGACAGAUUUCAUGACUUCUGACUGUAACUACGACCUGGGAUCUGUGGAAUGGCUGGAGCCUGCGUGGCACACUGCCUUGGGGGUGCUAGAGAUCUCAGUGAACACUGACAACGCCCCCGACCUUGCUGUGACGGACUCAAACCAAGUGUCUCCAAUCCCUGGCGCUCUGCCUGUGGUCGACUCGACUGGGGCGUCGAGGAGCCAAGUGAAGCAGGACCGAUCGCAGAGGGCAGGUGACGGCCUACGACGUGUUGCCCGGCUGUCGACGAGGGACUGUGUGACGACUGAGGAACGCAAUGCCGUGUCGUCUGAGGACACUUUGCGCUUUGACAGGGUGAACUCCCUCCACGUUGACAACCUCGAUAACCGACCGUCAGUAGACUUUUGCGGAGACCCUUGGAGCACCCCUGACCAGUCUACGUCCUCUGUGUCUCAGACGACGGAAAAUGCGGUUGACCCUUCGGUGUCAGGGUCCACUCAGCCUUUCAUCAGUGAAGCCCUGGAAGAUAACCUUGAUCCAGACACUGAUGAAAAACCUCUGAACUCCACAGACCACGGAGUGUCGUGCGACAUUGACAAGCUUUUAUCAAGUUUGCAGUUAGGCAUCACUGUCGCCUGUCAAGAGGCCCAGUCUUUGGAGGCAGACUGUGAGGGUGAUGGAAUUGCGCUUUUAGGUCAUAGCGGUCAUAACCGUCAUCGGUGCGAGUCAGUCGUGAGGCCCAGAGGAAAAGUCCAAGACAUCACUCAGCAGUGUUCAUAUGAGAUUGACGACAGCCGUGGCUACGCUCAAGACCUCUGCAUGUACGAUUACCAAUUGAAUCGAGACCAAACAUCUGCGUGGGCUUCUGUGCCACACUACAAUUUGACUAGAGGGGAGAGAGUGGACAAAAAUAUGGAGGGGAGGAAGAAUGGAGAAGAGGGUUGUGACACGUCAUCCUCAUUGUGUGGCAUGAACUCUCUGAGUGGUGAGUAUGGUGUUACCUAAUUCAUUUUAUUUCUAUACAUGUUUUGACCCCAGGAAAGGGGUGCCGUUGUGUAGAAACCAUACAGUAGAUUCAAUGGAAUCCUAAAUGGCUGUUAUUGGGAUGCAUGGUGUGUUUGAUUGUGUGUGGAUUGGAUGUUAUUUUUCUCUCUCACUCUUUAGAGCAUACUAGACAGUGGAGGACAAUCAAGGAAGUAGAGGCAGAAAUAGUUCCCAAGCCAUACCUGAGAGACCUAGUCAUGUACAAUGGUUUCAACCAGCUAGAUGAUGAGAGAGUGGGAAACCAGCUGAUCCUCUCUUCUCUCUCAAGGAUUCUCAAUGACCUGAAGGAGGAUAUGGCUUAUUGGAAGUCGUUAGGAAAGAGGGAGAGUCAACUAAUGAGGGAAAAUGAGAGAAUGGAACGUAGGCUGAACGAGAAAGAACUGAGGGACUUUACCGGCGCGGAAGAGAGGGAGUUUAUCAGUGGCAAAGGUUGGAGGACAGAGCGAGAGCAGGAGGAAUGUGAUGUGGCAAAAUGCAUGUCCUCCUUGGCAGGAGUGGAGAGCCCCAUCAUAGGGCUCCAUCCCAGCAGCCACUCCCCACCACUGCCCAAAGAAUUGAGCUCAUCCAAAACCAGCUUCAGCCGCACCAAUCCCAAAACCCUGUCGGUGAGGCAGAUAAUACUGCGAAAGACACGCAUUGCCUACCAGAUGAAGUGCGUGAAACGUUGGGAAGAGACAGCAAAGGCUGGUGAAGUGUUUACACUGACUGAAGGAAGUGGAGGGUCUGCAGAUAGGGGCGAUGGAGAGACUGAGAAGGAAAUUAAAGGGCAAAGAAAGAAAGGUGCAAAAGACAACAGGUCAAAGGGCAAAGUGAAUGGACGAGCGGAAGGUGAAGAACGGGGCAAAUUAGUUCUGAAGGAAGUCAUGGGGACAGAUGACAAAACGGCUAAAGUACGAAGAGGACAGAAGAGUAAGGACAAGCGAAGAGAGCAGCGAGAGAGACAACGAUGCAUCAAUGAAACAAAGGAAAAAGCUAGAAUGGACAUGGAAAAAAGGAAUGAAGUGAAAGAGGAUGGGACCGUAAGAAAGAUCUCGGAGGAAAUGCUGUCUGAGGACUGUUGUGUGGAAACACAUUCGGGAGAAAUGGAUGAAAGAAAAAAAAACAAUGAACUGACAGAUGGGGGAAUGAGGAAUACACCACCCGGGGCAGAAGAGGCUAGAGAGGACAGUGCUGAGAAACUCCCUGGUGAGAGCAUAAGAUUCACAUUUAGAAGUAUGAUAAAAAUCUAAACUGAUAGUGAUGAACCCCUGAAUGA